rnacentral:rRNA from 1 species
CGGUUGAUCCUGCCGGAGGUUACUGCUCUGGGAGUCAGAUUAAGCCAUGCUAGCGGAGGGCAGGUCGGCUGCCCCGCGAAUAGCUCAGUAACACGUGGUCAAUCUACCCUUGGGAUUGGGAUAACCCCGGGAAACUGGGGAUAAUCCCAAAUAGGCGGGGGGUUCUGGAAAGGUCCCUCGCUGAAAGCCCUACGGGCGCCUAAGGACGAGACUGCGGCCUAUUAGGUAGUUGGUGAGGUAAAGGCUCACCAAGCCGAAGAUGGGUACGGGCCCUGAGAGGGGGAGCCCGGAGAUGGAGACUGAGACAAGGCUCCAGGCCCUACGGGGCGCAGCAGGUGCGGAAAUUCUGCAAUGCGUGCAAGCGCGACAGAGUGACUCCCAGUGCCGAUGGUCGCUAACGACCGUCGGCUUUUCUGGAAUGUAAAAAGUUCCGGGUAAUAAGGGCCGGGUAAGAUUGGUGCCAGCCGCCGCGGUAACACCAGCGGCUCGAGUGGUAACCGAUUUUAUUGGGCUUAAAGCGUCCGUAGCCGGACCGACGGGUCCCUUGUGAAAUCGGACGGGUUAACCGUUCGGCUUGCAGGGGAAACUGUUGGUCUUGAGGCUGGUAGGCGCCGAGGGUACUCCGGGGGUAGCAGUGAAAUGCUAUAAUCCUUGGGGGACCGCCAGUGGCGAAAGCGCUCGGCGAGGCCAGACCUGUCGGUGGGGGACGAAGGCCAGGGUAGCGAACCGGAUUAGAUACCCGGGUAGUCCUGGCUGUAAAGGAUGUGAGUUAGGUGCUAGGCGCUCCUCGAGAGCGUCCGGUGCCGAAGGGAAGCCAUUAAGCUCACCGCCUGGGAAGUCCCGUCGCAAGACGGAAACUUAAAGGAAUUGGCGGGGGAGCAC